rnacentral:tRNA from 1 species
GGAGGCGUCUGGGUUCCUGGUGGUCCCCCCGGUCUUCAAAACCGGUGAAGCCGAGCAUCUCGGUUUGGCGGGUUCGAUUCCCGUCCGCCUCCGCCA